AGUGAACGCUGGCGGUAUGCCUAACACAUGCAAGUCGAACGGCAGCACAUUAAGAGCUUGCUCUUACGGGUGGCGAGUGGCGGACGGGUGAGGAAUACAUCGGAAUCUACUUUUUCGUGGGGGAUAACGUAGGGAAACUUACGCUAAUACCGCAUACGUCCUACGGUAGAAAGCAGGUGAUCUUCGGACCUUUCGCUAUCGAAUGAGCGGAUGUCGGAUUAGCUAGUUGGCGGGGUAAAGGCCCACCAAGGCGACGAUCCGUAGCUGGUCUGAGAGGAUGAUCAGCACAACUGGAACUGAGAAACGGUCCAGACUCCUACGGGAGGAAGCAGUGGGGAAUAUUGGACAAUGGGCGCAAGCCUGAUCCAGCCAUACCGCGUGGGUGAAGAAGGCCUUCGGGUUGUAAAGCCCUUUUGUUGGGAAAGAAAAGCAGCAGGUUAAUACCCCGAUGUUCUGACGGUACCCAAAGAAUAAGCACCGGCUAACUUCGUG
rnacentral:rRNA from 1 species